GACGGAGGGGGCAAGCGUUGUUCGGAUUUAUUGGGCGUAAAGAGCUCGUAGGCGGUUUGUCGCGUCUGCCGUGAAAGUCCGGGGCUCAACUCCGGAUCUGCGGUGGGUACGGGCAGACUAGAGUGCAGUAGGGGAGACUGGAAUUCCUGGUGUAGCGGUGAAAUGCGCAGAUAUCAGGAGGAACGCCGAUGGCGAAGGCAGGUCUCUGGGCUGUAACUGACGCUGAGGAGCGAAAGCAUGGGGAGCGACCAGG
rnacentral:rRNA from 1 species